rnacentral:rRNA from 1 species
ACAAGUAGUUAGAGCCCGUUAAUGGGUGAUAGCGUGCCUUUUGUAGAAUGAACCGGCGAGUUACGAUUUGUUGCAAGGUUAAGCGGAAAAAGCGGAGCCGUAGCGAAAGCGAGUCUGAAUAGGGCGCAUAAGUAACAGGUCGUAGACCCGAAACCAGGUGAUCUACCCAUGUCCAGGAUGAAGGUAAGGUAAUACUUACUGGAGGUCCGAACCCACGCACGUUGAAAAGUGCGGGGAUGAGGUGUGGGUAGCGGAGAAAUUCCAAUCGAACUUGGAGAUAGCUGGUUCUCUCCGAAAUAGCUUUAGGGCUAGCCUCGAGGUAAAGAGUCAUGGAGGUAGAGCACUGUUUGGACUAGGGGCCCUUCUCGGGUUACCGAAUUCAGAUAAAC